UACGUAGGGCGCAAGCGUUGUCCGGAAUUAUUGGGCGUAAAGAGCUCGUAGGCGGCUUGUUGCGUCGGUUGUGAAAGCCCGGGGCUUAACCCCGGGUCUGCAGUCGAUACGGGCAGGCUAGAGUGUGGUAGGGGAGAUCGGAAUUCCUGGUGUAGCGGUGAAAUGCGCAGAUAUCAGGAGGAACACCGGUGGCGAAGGCGGAUCUCUGGGCCAUUACUGACGCUGAGGAGCGAAAGCGUGGGGAGCGAACGGG
rnacentral:rRNA from 1 species